GAAAGGGAACGUCACAGAAAGGUGAAGAAAUUUGCCCUAAAUCAUAAAACUUUGUAAGUGGCAGAACAAGGAUUUGAAGCUGGCAGUCUGGUUCCAGAGAUGGGGUUUUACUGUGUUACCCAGGCUGGUCUUGAACUUCUGUUCUCAAGAGAUCCACCCACCUCAGCCUCCCAAAGUGCUGGGAUUACAGGCGUGAGUCACUUCACCUGGCCCGUACUGGUAAUUUUAAAAUACUAAAGCAUUCAGUGUUAGUAAGGUUCUGGUAAAAUUGAUACAAGCAUAUGCCCUUGGUGACAUUUGUGUUAGGCAGCUUCUAAGAUGACCCUAAUGAUCCCUGGUCCUAAUAUUUUUGGCCCUGGUUCAUAAUCCACUCCCCUUGCUCCUCUUGGUUCUAAACAAUAGAAUACAGCAACAUUGAGGGGAUAUCACCUCAGUGAUUAGAUUACAACAGAUUAUGACUUCUGUCUUGCUAAGAGGCCCUUGUCUUCUUGGCUUCACAUGUUUUAUCUUGAAGCAAGUUGCCAUGUUGGAGAGACCCACAUGGCGAGGAACUAAAGGCAGCCUCUGAGCAAACAGCCAGCUAACAGCUGGGGCCCUCGGGCCACAAGGCACUGAAUCCUACCAAGAACCGUGUGAGCCUGGAAUAGAAUCCUUCCCUACUCAAGCUUUCAGAUGAGACCGCAUGUAUUAAUCCAUUCUCAUGCUGCUGUGAAGAAAUACCCAAAACUGUGUGAUUUAUAAAGAAAAGAGGUUUAAUUAACUCACAGUUCCACAUGGCUGGGGAGGCCUCAGGAAACUUACAAUCAUGGCAGAAAGCACCUUUUCACAGGGCGACAGGAGAGAGAAUGAGUGUCAGCAGGGAAAAUGGAAGUAGAAAAUCAUCAGAUCUCUUGAGAACUCACUCGCUAUCAUGAGAACAGCAUGGGGAAACCAUCCCCAUGAUUCAGUUACCUCCUACCAGGUCCCUCCCAUGAUACACAGGGAUUAUGGGAUUACAAUUCAAGAUGAGAUGGGGGUGGGGACACAAAGCCAAAUCAUAGCACCCCAGCCUCAGCCAGCACCUUCACUGCAGCCUUGAGAGCCCCUGGAGCAGAGAAGCAGCUAACCUGUGCCUGGAUUCCUGACCCACAGAAACAACAAGACAAUAAAUCCGUGUUGUAGUAAGCCAUUUGGUGGGGUAACUUGGUAUGAAGAAAUAGAUAACUCAUACUCUUUAUUAAUUGGCAUAAUGUUUUUGGAAAGCAAUUUGGCAAAACUUGAUACAAUCAUAAAAGUUUAUCUUGUGACCCAGUAAUUUCAAACCUAUGUAUUUCCUAGGGCUGUAAUCCAUAGAAACUGAAUACUACAUGCCCAAAGAGGUACAUAAAAGCAUUAGAUAGAAAUACAACAAAAUAACAAUAAUGGAAAUGUUGAAUAGCAGUGACUUUGGAGGUAUCUACUUGUUGAACAUUUUCAGCCAUUAAAAAGUAUAAUUAUGAAGACUACAGUAGAAGCAUGGGGAAAUACUAGUUAUAAAUAUCAAAUCUUUUUUUACAAAUGUACAAUCUGCAUGGUGAUUGCAAUAAUGUAAACAUGAUAAAACCUAGGAGGAAAUUCACAAAAUUUAAAGUGGUUGUGUUAUAGGGGAAUUUUAAGUGAUUUUAUUAAUUCAAAUAAUAAGGACUUAGCACUAUAUAUAUUUACGGUCACACAUCACUUAACGACAGGGAUAUGUUCUGAGAAAUGCCUUGGAAGGCAAUUCCAUCUUUGUGUGAACAUCAUAGUGUACUUACACAAACCUAGAUGGCACAGCCUCCUACACACCUAGGCUAGAUGGUGUCACCUUUGCUAGUGGGCUCCAAACCUGUAAAGCACGUUGUUGUGCUGAAUACCGUGGGCAGCUGUAACGCAAUGGUAAGGAUUUGUGUAUCAAAACAUAGAAAAGUAAAAACACUGUGGUAUUAA